rnacentral:rRNA from 1 species
AUUGAACGCUGGCGGCAGGCUUAACACAUGCAAGUCGAGCGGGGAAGGUUGCUUCGGUAACUGACCUAGCGGCGGACGGGUGAGUAAUGCUUAGGAAUCUGCCUAUUAGUGGGGGACAACAUUCCGAAAGGGAUGCUAAUACCGCAUACGCCCUACGGGGGAAAGCAGGGGAUCUUCGGACCUUGCGCUAAUAGAUGAGCCUAAGUCGGAUUAGCUAGUUGGUGGGGUAAAGGCCUACCAAGGCGACGAUCUGUAGAGGGUCUGAGAGGAUGAUCCGCAACACUGGGACUGAGACACGGCCCAGACUCCUUCGGGGGGCAGCAGUGGGGAAUAGUGGACAAGGGGGGGAACCCUGACCCAGCCAUGCCGCGUGUGUGAAGAAGGCCUUUUGGUUGUAAAGCACUUUAAGCGAGGAGGAGGCGCUCUAGGAUAAUACCCUAGAUGCGUGGAUGUUACUCGCAGAAUAAGCACCGGCUAACUCUGUGCCAGCAGCCGCCGUAACAC